UCUGAUGUUAGCGGCGGACGGGUGAGUAACACGUGGAUAACCUACCUAUAAGACUGGGAUAACUUCGGGAAACCGGAGCUAAUACCGGAUAAUAUUUUGAACCGCAUGGUUCAAAAGUGAAAGACGGUCUUGCUGUCACUUAUAGAUGGAUCCGCGCUGCAUUAGCUAGUUGGUAAGGUAACGGCUUACCAAGGCAACGAUGCAUAGCCGACCUGAGAGGGUGAUCGGCCACACUGGAACUGAGACACGGUCCAGACUCCUACGGGAGGCAGCAGUAGGGAAUCUUCCGCAAUGGGCGAAAGCCUGACGGAGCAACGCCGCGUGAGUGAUGAAGGUCUUCGGAUCGUAAAACUCUGUUAUUAGGGAAGAACAUAUGUGUAAGUAACUGUGCACAUCUUGACGGUACCUAAUCAGAAAGCCACGGCUAACUACGUGCCAGCAGCCGCGGUAAUACGUAGGUGGCAAGCGUUAUCCGGAAUUAUUGGGCGUAAAGCGCGCGUAGGCGGUUUUUUAAGUCUGAUGUGAAAGCCCACGGCUCAACCGUGGAGGGUCAUUGGAAACUGGAAAACUUGAGUGCAGAAGACGACAGUGGAAUUCCAUGUGUAGCGGUGAAAUGCGCAGAGAUAUGGAGGAACACCAGUGGCGAAGGCGACUUUCUGGUCUGUAACUGACGCUGAUGUGCGAAAGCGUGGGGAUCAAACAGGAUUAGAUACCCUGGUAGUCCACGCCGUAAACGAUGAGUGCUAAGUGUUAGGGGGUUUCCGCCCCUUAGUGCUGCAGCUAACGCAUUAAGCACUCCGCCUGGGGAGUACGACCGCAAGGUUGAAACUCAAAGGAAUUGACGGGGACCCGCACAAGCGGUGGAGCAUGUGGUUUAAUUCGAAGCAACGCGAAGAACCUUACCAAAUCUUGACAUCCUUUGACAACUCUAGAGAUAGAGCCUUCCCCUUCGGGGGACAAAGUGACAGGUGGUGCAUGGUUGUCGUCAGCUCGUGUCGUGAGAUGUUGGGUUAAGUCCCGCAACGAGCGCAACCCUUAAGCUUAGUUGCCAUCAUUAAGUUGGGCACUCUAAGUUGACUGCCGGUGACAAACCGGAGGAAGGUGGGGAUGACGUCAAAUCAUCAUGCCCCUUAUGAUUUGGGCUACACACGUGCUACAAUGGACAAUACAAAGGGCAGCGAAACCGCGAGGUCAAGCAAAUCCCAUAAAGUUGUUCUCAGUUCGGAUUGUAGUCUGCAACUCGACUACAUGAAGCUGGAAUCGCUAGUAAUCGUAGAUCAGCAUGCUACGGUGAAUACGUUCCCGGGUCUUGUACACACCGCCCGUCACACCACGAGAGUUUGUAACACCCGAAGCCGGUGGAGUAACCUUUUAGGAGCUAGCCGUCGAAGGUGGGACAAAUGAUUGGGGUGAAGUCGUAAUAAGGUAGCCGUAUCGGAAGGUGCGGCUGGAUCACCU
rnacentral:rRNA from 1 species